rnacentral:tRNA from 1 species
ACCUGGCUGGCUCUGUCAUUAGAGUGUGAGACUCUUGAUCUCAAGGUUGUGAGUUCAAGUCCCACACUGGGCG